AACAGAAGAAUGGUUUAUUAUUGCCAGCUUUGGCCUCCUCAGUGCGCUCACGCUCUGCUACAUGAUCAUCAGAGCCACAGCUAGCUUGAAUGCUAAUGAGGUAGAGUGGUUUUGAAGAGAAGAAACCGCUUUCUGACCGGUGGCCUUGAAGGAGAAGAACCUAUUUUUGUGCAUCGUUUACCAAUCAUGCCACACAAGCAUUUAUUUUUAGUACAUUUUAUUUUUUCAUAAAAUUGCUAAUGCCAAAGCUUUGUAUUAAAAGAAAUAAAUAAUAAA